rnacentral:snoRNA from 15 species
UUUGCACUAUUAAUCAGAAAUAGUUCACAGUUUAUGAGCGUAUUUCCUUCAUGCAGUGCAUAGAAUAAUGUUUUCAUACUCACUUUACCCUCAGGUGCUUCAAACUAACUUAGUUUGAUUUUUCGUUGCCUGCGGGCCAUACAUGUAUGAUAUAUUUC